UAAUACGGAGGGUGCGAGCGUUAAUCGGAAUUACUGGGCGUAAAGGGCGCGUAGGCGGUGAAGUAAGUCGGGUGUGAAAGCCCCGGGCUCAACCUGGGAACUGCAUUCGAUACUGCUUCGCUAGAGUAUGGUAGAGGGAAGCGGAAUUCCGGGUGUAGCGGUGAAAUGCGUAGAUAUCCGGAGGAACACCAGUGGCGAAGGCGGCUUCCUGGACCAAUACUGACGCUGAGGCGCGAAAGCGUGGGGAUCAAACAGGAUUAGAUACCCUGGUAGUCCACGCCCUAAACGAUGAGAACUAGCCGUUGGAGGAAAUUAGUCCUUUAGUGGCGCAGCUAACGCGAUAAGUUCUCCGCCUGGGGAGUACGGCCGCAAGGUUA
rnacentral:rRNA from 1 species